rnacentral:misc_RNA from 1 species
UCCGGUUUGGCACCGGCAGUCUCCCAUGAGUCCCCGACAUUACUCGCUGGCAACAUGGGACAGGAGUUGCGCUCGUUGCGGGACUUAACCCAACAUCUCACGACACGAGCUGACGACAGCCAUGCACCACCUGUGCACUGGUCCCGAAGGAGGACCGCAUUUCUACGGCUUUCCAGUGCAUGUCAAGCCCUGGUAAGGUUCUUCGCGUUGCAUCGAGUUAAACCACAUGCUCCGCUGCUUGUGCGGGCCCCCGUCAAUUCCUUUGAGUUUCAGCCUUGCGGCCGUACUCCCCAGGCGGGGCACUUAUCGCGUUAGCUACGGCACUGACGGGGUCGCUCCCCCCAGCACCUAGUGCCCAUCGUUUACGGCGUGGACUAC